rnacentral:rRNA from 1 species
CCUACGGGAGGCUGCAGUGAGGAAUAUUGUCCAUUGACGAGAGUCUGAACCAGCCAAGUAGCGUGAAGGAUGACUGCCCUAUGGGUUGUAAACUUCUUUUAUCAAGGAAUAAAACGAGGCACGUGUGCCUUUUUGCAUGUACUUUAUGAAUAAGGAUCGGAUAACUCCGUGCCAGCAGCCGCGGUAAUACGGAGGAUCUGAGCGUUAUCCGGAUAUGUUGGGUUUAAAGGGAGCGUAGAUGGGUUGUUACGUCAGUUGUGAAAGUUUGCGGCUCAACCGUAAAAUUGCAAUUGAUACUGGAAGUCUUGAGUACAGUUGAGGUAGGCGGAAUUCGUGGUGUAGCGGUGAAAUGCUUAGAUAUCACGAAGAACCCCGAUUGCGAAGGCAGCUUACUAAACUGUGACUGACAUUGAUGCUCGAAAGUGUGGGUAUCAAACAGGAUUAGAUACCCGGGUAGUC